rnacentral:rRNA from 1 species
AUGACGAAGCACCAGAGGGCUGAAGCGGCCGACCAGCAUGUCGUGUCCCUCGCCCUCUCGCUCUGCCUCGGCGCUGUCGCUGACCGCAGCAAGAAGAUGCGCCGCGCCGGUCGGGAUCAGUUCGUGUGCAAGACGUGCGGCCGCUCGUUCGCGUCGUUCCAGGCGCUGGGUGGCCACCGGACUAGCCACCUCCGCGACCGCAACGGGCUCGCGCUCGCCCUCACCACCGGCGAUCAGUACUGCUCGGUCAAGCCCAAGAGUGCUACGGAUCAGAAGCAGGCGCACCAGUGCCACAUCUGCGGCCAAGGGUUCGAGACGGGGCAGGCGCUCGGCGGCCACAUGCGCCGGCACCGUGAGGAGGUGGCGCAGGCGUUGCCCGUUCUGCUCGAGCUCUUUGUCUAG